rnacentral:rRNA from 1 species
UACGUAUGUGGCGAGCGUUGUCCGGAUUUACUGGGCGUAAAGGGAGCGUAGGCGGAUUUUUAAGUGAGAUGUGAAAUACUCAGGCUCAACCUGGGGGCUGCAUUUCAAACUGGAAGUCUAGAGUGCAGGAGAGGAGAGUGGAAUUCCUAGUGUAGCGGUGAAAUGCGUAGAGAUUAGGAAGAACACCAGUAGCGAAGGCGGCUCUCUGGACUGUAACUGACGCUGAGGCACGAAAGCGUGGGGAGCAAACAGGAUUAGA